rnacentral:rRNA from 1 species
UACGAAGGGGGCUAGCGUUGUUCGGAAUCACUGGGCGUAAAGCGCACGUAGGCGGAUUGUUAAGUCGGGGGUGAAAUCCUGAGGCUCAACCUCAGAACUGCCUUCGAUACUGGCGAUCUUGAGUCCGGAAGAGGUUGGUGGAACAGCUAGUGUAGAGGUGAAAUUCGUAGAUAUUAGCUAGAACACCAGUGGCGAAGGCGGCCAACUGGUCCGGAACUGACGCUGAGGUGCGAAAGCCAGGGGAGCAAACGGG